CGGGCUCCGUGACCGUCCUGGCCGCGCCCGGCGGACCUCGGGACCUGACUACCGGCUCGCUGGGAAACUGUUGGAGCCGCGUCCGAAGCACCGCCGCGCUGGGGGGGGGGGAGCGUGGGUAACGCCUGCCGACCACGCCGGCGUCUCCCCUCCCUCGGUUCAGUAGCACAGUAACCCAUAUAAUUCAACUGAGGACUGAGGAAAGGCAAGCUCAUAAUCCAAGGCAUAUCCCAGUUAAACAUCAGACGACACCCUGGCUUUCCGCACAGCAGGAGGCUUCCUUCAGAGGAGGAUUGAGAUGGACUGAACUUUACACUUGGAAUUCUGCCAGUGAAAUAGGAGAAUCUCAGUCAUUGAGCACUGGGAGUGAAAGGGAUUGUGGGGGAUGGAGUUUCCAGUGACAGGAGUGAGAGUGCCCCAUGGUCCAGACAACCACUGGUGGGGCCUUGCCUUGUGAUGCAAGGCAUCUUCAAUCAAUUAAAAAUGCUCUCUUGACAAAAAGAUUGUGGAUUGUGAACUAUCUGCCUGGCUUUCCGCCGUAAGACUCUUUUCGGUGACGGGUAUUCUUGGGUGGAUAAUACGGAUCGCGUUGUUAUUGCUUAAGAAUACGCGUAGUCGAGGAGAGUCAUUCCUGCAGCGUCGUCGACUUAAAUCCAAUGAUCUUUAAAGUGCCCACCUGCCUGAUUGCUUUAUACUGCGGCUAGUAACGCAGAGAAACUCCGAAACACACAUAGAGGUCUAUUCAUCAAACAACCUGACAUAUUACCUCUUCCUAUUUUCUGUGAUUACUGUACUGUCAAGCAGAGAGCUAGCCAUGGUAACAUCGGUCAUCAUGUUUUUUCAUAGCUCUGUAUUUCAAAGCUGAUUUUUUUCCCCUUUGAGAAUAUUGCUAUUUUUUUGCUGCACUGUUUUAUAAUUCUGUUAACCCUGCUGCCAAUGUGGUGUCAUUGAAAUGUUCUAUUUUGCUUCUCUCUGUUUGUGGUUGAGAUACACCCUCAUAUGCAUGUGUGGCAUUGUGCAUGUUAUAUAGAUCAGCUUGCUGCAAGGAAUGCCUCCAUUAUUCCUUAUCGGCUCUGCUGACUAACACAGACUUCAACCUUAUUUUAAGCAGAUCGAUUUUAAAAUUGCAUUUAUCGGCCAGCGUUCGGCUCAAAGGACACAGUUAAGCCACCAGGGCCAUGGGGCAAUAUGUUUCUUCAUGCAGUGAGUGGAUAGUGUGUUUAUACAAACAGACAUGGAGAGAAAAAGCGGGAGGUACAAUAGCUGAAACAGAGUAAUGCCACAAUUUAUUUUCACGCACCCUGUAUUAACAUGAUAAAAAGCAUGACAUACAAUGGAAUGACAAAAACACACAUGCUAGGAAGAUAGUCAGCACUUACCCAUAUUAACUACACAAAUGCUCGCACUCUCUCUGUGUCUGUCUCUCUACAUACCUCUUUACGUACACGCGCGUAUGCUCACGCACACGCAUAUUUAAAUUUGUGAAAAUCAAUAAAGAAUUUACAAUGACUUGUUUUCAUUUUGCAGUCAUGCUAUUAUUGUUCGGUCACAUCUCUCCCAGAACUACUGAAUCGCAAAAUAAUUCCUAAACCCUGUAACAGUGUUUUCUGUUGCAUAAACAAUUCUGGGUAGCCAAUUCAUGAAAUUACAUUUUUAUACAUUUACAUGUAUUUUUAUACUUUUUAAACAAAUAAUUAUUGUCAGAAUUUUCCCUGAUGGAACCAAUGUUUUGAUCAUCAUCAUAUUUCACCACUAGGGGAAUCUCUCCCACUGAUAAUCAGAGCCUGACACUGAAUUAAACAGAAUAUCAGAAUAACCAGUGUGUGUACAACACCAGACUGUUUCUGUGAAUGAACCACUACAUCAGGCCCCUGCUGAGGUAAUCUUAGUCUGAUAGUUGGAUGACCUGGAUGAUCCUCUAGUUCACUUCUGGGUCACUGUCAAAUUUCCACCCCAAAUGUAUCAUACAUCUGGUAUUUACAGCAUUGUUACAGAUGACUGUUUAUUAUUAUUUUGUUUUUUUCUGAAAACUGUGAGAUCAUUAGGCAAAGAAACUGAAGGCAGUGGUAUAUUUUAGCAGUAUGUUUUGAUGUCUAAUAUUGUAGUGUCUAUAAUAACUCAGUCUGAGAUAAUACAAAUAAUUAACAUGAAAUGUACAUGAAUAAAUGUGCACAGAAAUAUACAUUACAAUAAUAAAAAUAUGAAUGUGUAGUAUUAGUGUCAUAUUCAUUAUUUGGCAAUGAUAUUCCACAAUUGUGAACAAAAUGGUUGCCUCUAUUUUUUAUUUUUUAAAUAUAUUAUUAUUACUAUUAUUAUUAUUGUUAUGAUUACUAUUACUACAAAUUGCUCAUCUUAUAUGUUGACUUAUUUGCCACGCUAAUGCUUUUUGUUGUAAUCAUACAUAUCAGUUGUCUUCUGAAAUAAAAUAAUUCUGAAGCCAA